rnacentral:rRNA from 1 species
UACGGAAGGCAGCAGUGGGGAAUAUUGCACAAUGGGCGCAAGCCUGAUGCAGCCAUGCCGCGUGUAUGAAGAAGGCCUUCGGGUUGUAAAGUACUUUCAGUCGUGAGGAAGGUGUUAAGGUUAAUAACCUUAGCAAUUGACGUUAGCGACAGAAGAAGCACCGGCUAACUCCGUGCCAGCAGCCGCGGUAAUACGGAGGGUGCGAGCGUUAAUCGGAAUUACUGGGCGUAAAGGGCACGCAGGCGGUUAAUUAAGUUGGAUGUGAAAUCCCCGGGCUUAACCUGGGAAUGGCAUUCAAGCUGGUUAGCUAGAGUCUUGUAGAGGGGGUAGAAUUCCAUGUGUAGCGGUGAAAUGCGUAGAGAUGUGGAGGAAUACCGGUGGCGAAGGCGGCCCCUGGACAAAGGACUGACGCUCAUGUGCGAAAGCGUGGGGAGCAAACAGGGAUUAGAUACC